rfam:Williamsia sp. 1138 294, whole genome shotgun sequence.
UCACGUGGGUGAAUCGAGGCCUCUGCCCGAUCCGACCCUGACGCACUUCCCCAGCGCCAGGUUCGGUCGGGCAGGGACCAGGAUUCAUCCGCGGGUCACU